rnacentral:rRNA from 1 species
CCUACGGGAGGCAGCAGUGGGGAAUAUUGGGCAAUGGGCGCAAGCCUGACCCAGCAACGCCGCGUGAAGGAAGAAGGCUUUCGGGUUGUAAACUUCUUUUCUCAGGGACGAAGAAAGUGACGGUACCUGAGGAAUAAGCCACGGCUAACUACGUGCCAGCAGCCGCGGUAAUACGUAGGUGGCAAGCGUUAUCCGGAUUUAUUGGGUGUAAAGGGCGUGUAGGCGGGAGCGCAAGUCAGAUGUGAAAACUCAGGGCUCAACCCUGAGCCUGCAUUUGAAACUGUGGUUCGUGAGUGCUGGGGAGGCAAUCGGAAUUCCGUGUGUAGCGGUGAAAUGCGUAGAUAUACGGAGGAACACCAGUGGCGAAGGCGGAUUGCUGGACAGUAACUGACGCUGAGGCGCGAAAGCGUGGGGAGCAAACAGGAUUAGAUACCCUAGUAGUC